AAUAAAUAAAUGGUGAAAAAAUAACAAGAGCAAUAGUGUCCAGCCAUGGUGGCACAAUGAUAAUGUAAUGUCUUAUAAUGCUAGAAGCCAAAUGGAAGUUCGGAGGUCAGUUCCUGUGUUGAUCUGUAUGUUCCAGGCAUAGUGAAAUCAAGAGAAACUGAUACAGACACAGAGGAGAAAGCCAUAUGAAAACAGAGUUAGAAACUGGAGUGAUGAGACCAAAAACCAAGGAAACCAAAGAAUACCAACAGCCACUGAAAGCUUGAAGAAAUAAGGGUGGACUCUUAUCUAGAAUCUCAGGAGGGAGCAGCAAGAGUGUUGUCCGUCUCUGAAGAGGAGAAACCAGCUCUCUGGUGAAAUGGGCCUAGACCGAUGUUAGGGAAGAAAUACAACUCUGAAUAUGAAGUGACACAGAGCUUUCACAUGCCUCACUAGAGACCUGAGUUGCUUGGUUACUCAGGGACUAGUGAUCACUCAGAAAUGAAAAGAUAAUAAGAGUAUUUGCCUACCUCGGGCUUUGGAGCUUUUUUCCUACCCAGAUCUGGUGACUAUGCAGGUGUGAAUCAAAAGUUUAUUUGAUAAACAAGGUGGCACUGUUGACUUUUCCUUUUCUAAUCACACCCUGCCUUCAGUCCACUGUCCCUCAGCUUACAGAACACACUAUCCUGGAAAAGGUAUACUCACCCUGUUUGAACUGGGUCUUUAGUUUUCAGGGUUGGCUUACCUCGGAACAAAGCCAUAGUCUACCUCUCCCUCUAAUCCUUAGAGGAAAUUUCCCAAUC